rnacentral:ncRNA from 1 species
GUAAAGACGAUGAUGAGGAGAAGUAGCUGCAUAGUGUCGCCCAGAGAGCCGGUGGUAGGUGGAAACCGGAGGAUGCGUGCAGUGAAAUACACCUCUGAGUUGUAGGCCGAAAUUAGGGGACGAGUAUUACCCCGCGAAAGUAGGCCGUGCCGGCUGCCGCCGUUACCCGGAUAGGAUAUCGGAAGCAAAUAGGUGCUUCCCGUAUCUGACGAGUGGUAGCAAUACAAGCAGGGUGGUACCGCGGGAGUAAAAUCUCGUCCCUAAG